AAUCAACGCUGGCGGCGUGCCUAACACAUGCAAGUCGAACGAGAAAGUGGAGCAAUCCAUGAGUACAGUGGCGUACGGGUGAGUAACACGUGACUAACCUACCCUCGAGUGAGGAAUAACCUCGGGAAACCGGGGCUAACACCGCAUAAUAUCUACGGAUCAAAUGCGAAAGCAGCUUGAGGAGGGGGUCGCGGCCGAUUAGCUAGUUGGUGAGGUAAUGGCUCACCAAGGCAAUGAUCGGUAGCCGGCCUGAGAGGGCGCACGGCCACACUGGAACUGAAACACGGUCCAGACUCCUACGGGAGGCAGCAGUGGGGAAUUUUGCGCAAUGGGGGAAACCCUGACGCAGCAACGCCGCGUGGAGGAUGAAGCCCCUU
rnacentral:rRNA from 1 species